UGUCGCGGCAGCUGUACGCGGGAUACCUUAGGGUAUGCCGGGUUCCUAGUACCGGUCGGUCAACCCGCGUAUAGCUGCCACCCUA
rnacentral:antisense_RNA from 1 species